AUGCUUAAAAUUCUCCAAGCCAGGCUUCAGCAAUACGUGAACCAUGAACUUCCAGAUGGUCAAGCUGGUUUUAGAAAAGGCAGAAGAACCAGAAAUCAAAUUGCCAACAUCCGACUGAUCAUCAAAAAAGCAAGGGCGUUCCAGAAAAGCAUUCAUUCCUGCUUUAUUGACUAUGCCAAAGCCUUUACCUGUGUGGAUCACAAUAAACUGUGGAAAAUUCUGAAAGAGAUGGGAAUACCAGACCACCUGACCUGCCUCUUGAGAAACCUAUAUGCAGGUCAGGAAGCAACAGUUAGAACUGGACAUGGAACAACAGACUGGCUCCAAAUAGGAAAAGGAGUAUGUCAAGGCUAUAUAUUGUCACCCUGCUUACUUAACUUAUAUGCAGAGUACAUCAUGAGAAACGUUGGGCUGGAGAAAGCAGAAGCUGGAAUCAAGAUUGCCAGGAUAAACAUCAAUAACCUCAGAUAUGCAGAUGACUCCACCCUUAUGGCAGAAAGUGAAGAAGAACUAAAGAGACUCUUGAUGAAAGUGAAAGAGCAGAGUGAAAAAGUUGGCUUAAAGCUCAACAUUCAGAAAACUAAGAUCAUAGCAUCCAGUCCCAUCACUCUAUGGCAGAUAGAUGGGGAAACAGUGGAAACAGUGUCAGACUUUAUUUUUCUGGGCUCCAAAAUCACUACAGAUGGUGAUUGCAGCCAUGAAAUUAAAAGGCGCUUACUCCUUGGAAGAAAAGUUAUGACCAAUCUUGAUAGCAUAUUAAAAAGCAGAGACAUUACUUUGUCAACAAAAGUCCAUCUAGUCAAGGCUACAGUUUUUCCAGUGGUCAUGUAUGGAUGUGAGAGUUGGACGAUGAAGAAAGCUGAGUGCCAAAGAAUUGAUGGUUUUCAUCUGUGGGGUGGGAGAAGAUUCUUGAGAGUCCCUUGGACUGCAAGGAGAUCCAACCAGUCCAUCCUAAAGGAGACCAGUCCUGGGUGUUCAUUGGAAGAACUGAUGUUAAAGCUGAAACUCCAAUACUUUGGCCAUCUGAUGUGA
rnacentral:lncRNA from 1 species